rnacentral:lncRNA from 1 species
ACAUAGCCCUGAACGAGGACCUGAGCUCCUGGACUGCAGCGAACGCAGUGGCUCAGGCCACCCGGCGCAAGUGGGAGGCGGCUGGUGCCUCCGAGCCAUGGAGAGCCUACCUGGAGGGCCCUUGCGUGGAGUGGCUUGGCAAAUAUCUGGAGAACGGGAAGGAGACGUUGCUGCGCACAGGUGCAAGGGACCUCAGGGAACCUCCCCAUCUGUCCUGGGAUUGGGACCGACAUCUCCCGCUGAGGAGAGGA